UACGGAGGGGGCUAGCGUUGUUCGGAAUUACUGGGCGUAAAGCGCACGUAGGCGGCUUUGUAAGUUAGAGGUGAAAGCCCGGAGCUCAACUCCGGAAUUGCCUUUAAGACUGCAUCGCUUGAAUCAUGGAGAGGUGAGUGGAAUUCCGAGUGUAGAGGUGAAAUUCGUAGAUAUUCGGAAGAACACCAGUGGCGAAGGCGACUCACUGGACAUGUAUUGACGCUGAGGUGCGAAAAGCGUGGGGAGCAAACAGG
rnacentral:rRNA from 1 species